AAUUAAUAUGAUAUUUUGUUCCAAUUUUUGCUAUUUUGAUUGCUAAAUUUAGGGCUCAAAAUUUUGUUCCACUUGUUCAACGAAUUUCAAUUGUUGAAGCUAGGGUUUCAAAUAUUCUUCGAUUCAGUGUUUUGAAUGUUUUUAAUUGCGAUUUUGUUUACUACAAUGAUCCCAUUUCCCUGUUUCAUUGGGAUGGCGUAGGGACAAAGUUGCUAUUCCUCGAUUCCAAUCAGAUUUACUUCACUUCUUUACCUCUUUUAGUUGUUGAAUCUGAAACUUGACGAGGAAUGAUUUUACACGAGUUCAAUUGUCUUCUCAGUUUGUGGUCAAUGAUUUUUGGUUAAUUUGUUUUAUGGCUAGCGCUUAAUGUCAAAAUGUCUUCUUAUUAUGACUUUGAACCCUCUUCUGCAGAAGAAAAACCACCUGGUGUCGUUAGCAGCACGAAUAUUAAUGCGUUGGAGAAGUUUGGUAUUCGUGAAGAACAAAAGUUUCAAUUCCUUGGAAAGUAUGUGCUAGUUCAAUCUUUUACCUCCAUGUUUUUCUCUACUCACGUUCUGCUGCUGCUGCUGCUUACUACUUUGCUUACUUACUGAUCUGCAACUUCGUUGGUUAUUUUUCUUGGCAUUGUCUUGGUUGUUUUGCUUGACAUUGUGUUGGUUUUUUUGCUUGUUUCUGUUGAUCAUUGCUUCUGUUAGAUAUUAUUAAAAUCGUAAAUGAAUAAGAUGAGUCAUAAGAGUAGGGACUGAUGGAGUGUAAUUGUUUGUGAUUUUGCUCUGCGUACUAGUCUGAAUCUGAUUGCUUUUGUUCUGCUUCACUGAGUAUUGUUCAGUUGUGUUGAGUUCUGAUGUGUUUUGUUGUUCUGAUUUUUCUUGGCAAUUAAUAAGUGAUUCUAUUAAUAAGCAAAAGGCUUAAACAAAAAAUACAAGCACCCGCAAGCACCUAAACUCAUCUUGGAAGACAUUCCUGCUAAGGUAACAGACAACCUAACUACCACAAUAUUACUAUAACCCCCCACCUUCUAGGAAGGGAUGGGCUAAAGAAAUGUGCAAAAGAACUCAUCCAAUCAACAAAUAUUGGAUAUCUUGUGUACUCCUACAAGCAACUUUAUAAAUGAUAUUUUGGAACACAGCUUCACUACUAAAAUAAUUGUUGUUAAAGAUCUUUUGAGUUCUCUAGAUCCAAAUACUGUAAAUAGCUUCCACCAGCAUCAUACCAUGAAGUCUAUGCUUUCCUUGUGUCGAUCUACAAACUUUAGCUCCCAUUUUCAUCUCCUCUGCGGCCUCGAUAAAUUCAGAAUUCUCCUCUGAACACCCCCAGAGUAGGGACACUCAAAUAAGAGAUGAGGGACGGUCUCAACAAUAGCAGAACAAAUGGCACAUGUAGCAUCAAGUAUCAAAUUCCACUGCUGAAGUCUGUCCUUUGCAAGUCUAUCAAAUUCCACUGUUGUUCUGAUUUGAUUUUCUGUUCUGCUUUACCUAAGCUAAAGAAAUUAUUUCCAUAAAUGUCUUGUAGCAGGGGCAAAGACUAAUGCCACCUGCUUCUUUAACAUAUGAGUGUGUUGUCAUUUGGCUUUGCUCUACAAUGCAUCAAAUAAACGUGAGUUUGCAGAUGUUUUGCUUCUUAUUUUAAAUGAUAUUGAAGUUAUGUCAUAUGUAGUUCUAGUGUCCUGAAGCAUUUGUUUGCUAUGUUGUACUUAUGUCGAACAUCAUUCUGGUUUGUGGAAGUUGUCAAAUUUGUGAAUCUAGGGAAGACUUUAUGCUUAUCUUACUUGAUUUGAUCUUUGAUCAAGAUAAUCCUAAACAAGGUUUCGUUUCUAGUUUAUUUCUAUUUCACAUAUAGCUGACUGAUGUUGUUGCUGGAGAUACUAGGACAUUUUCAGUUGAUUGAUGCUAAUAUUGUUGUUGAUUCCCUUGCUGGAGAUGCUCGAACAUUUUCUGCUGAUUGAUGCUAAUAUUGUUGUUAGCCAUUAGUUUUCUUCAGUGAUUUAAGCCGUGUAAUUGUUCCUGCACAGUUUAUUUCUCACCUAUUAUGCAUUCAGAUUUUAGAGGCUUUAUUGGUAGUGUCUGAUGUUUCUAGGCAUGCUUGGAUUUGGAUGUUGAUUAAAAUUGGGAAUACUCGAGCUACUGUUAGUGUCUUUUGAUUUUCGAAGUUGCAAGGUCUUUGAAUCUAUUUUGAUCUAGGGCUGUGAAGUUCUUUAUAUGGCUUGUUUUUCCCUAGGAUUGGACACAUGGAAACACCCCCUUUUACACUCCUGAUUUUAAAGAACAUUGGCUUAGAAGCUUUUUUGCUGGUGAGAUUAGUAAUUUCAGAUCUCGCUUUAUCUCACUCGAUCUGCAAUAACUCUACUAGAUACGGCUUCUUCCUUCUCCUUACCAAGGCUGGAGAUAUUUUUUUCUGCCACUGCAAGAGAAUCAUUAUUUUUAGCUGCAGUUUUAGCAUACAAAUGUGCCACCAGAAUUGCACUUUCCAAUUGUUCUUGAGCAAAUGCUUGGCCAACUUCAAGCUCGGCCUUCUAAGAGGAGAUGCAUGAAGAUUUUGUUCAGGUUUAAAGAAUCUAUCAGGGGAAAUGAAAAAGAUUUUGAUUUUAUUCCAUGUAGCUUUACUAUUUAACUAUUUGUAACUUAUUGUGGAGGAACUUGUAUUAAUAUCUAUCUCUAGAGUUAUUCAUAAUGUAUAUUGUACUCGUAUUAAUUUGGCUUCUAUUCCCUAUUCAAGUGUACCAGAUAGACGGAAACUAAAUCUGACAGAAGUCCACUAUUUUUGAAGGCUCAACUGGAAUCUGAAACUCUAGGAAACUGGAUUUAUGACAGAAACUUCGCGAUUAGUUUUACACCGCCACUGAGGAAGGAGAGGGCCAAGAGGCUCCCAAGAGAGACCAACUAGCCAGCAGUAUCGCAGUUUCUUCUAGAAGGCAUGUGGUCCUUUCAGAUGGCACUCAUGCCACUCAAAGUGCAGCCCUAGAAACUGCUAUUUCUCCCCCUACCUUAGUUCAAGGGUCGUUGGCUACUCAAGGAAACCUGAGAUCACUGCUGCUAUCUGGUGACUUCUUCCCUGGAGCUAUUGUUGCCUGUAUUUUUACAAAGCUUGUUUUGAGGUUGGAGGAGGUUCAACCAUCCAAGGUUGAAAGGAUAGUUCUAUGCAUCAGACUUCUCUGAAUACCAUAGAUGCGACUAGAAAAAUAUGGCUUCACUGUUGCAAAGAAAGCAUUGUUAACAUGCUUGCAGACAAGCAAUUCUGUGAAACCGAGAGGAAAGCCAAGGCUCAGGUUUCUCACUCUCAACCUGACAACCUCAUCGACUUCUAUCAUUUGUAGAGCAAGAAGGUUAGUGUGAAUAUCUUUUUAUUUAUAGGUGUGUUGGUUUUAUGGUAGAAGUCGUAGAACUUAUGUUUAACAAAUUAAGUAGAUGGAAAAUUAGAAGAUAAUCCUUCAUUGACUCGUGAUUCUUUAUUCAAUCUGCAUUAUCAUACCAAAGGGAAGUUCAAACUUCAAAUAUGCUUUUCUUACCGUCUUUAUUCGGAAUUUUAGUUGGUUUUUAAUUUGAUAUACUAGCUAUAUGAUGACUGUAUUUAGCACAAAUGGGAAGUACUAGCUUUUUUUCUUGUCAUAACAAUGUGGUCAUGGCCUUGAACUCUAUUUUGCCAGUGUGGAGGAUGACUAAUUUGAUAAUUCCUGCAGUCAAAUAGUAGUAGACCUUCACUGUUGUAAAUUUACUGUUUCUUUUUACUUUCUUGUAGGAACUUUAGUUCAUAUUGUUGUCUGCUAAUUUUAAUUUGAUAUUUUAAUAAUUGGUAUCAGCAUUUGUCGUAUAGAAUUGGUGUACAAGAUUUUUUUUCAUUUAUAGUUUAAGAACUUUGGGAAAAUGAUAUGUUCAAGCAAGUGUUGUCUUAGGAUUUUCUUGAUGCAGAUAAAUAUUUUCAAAGUUUAUAAUUAUCACAGAUUACCUCAGCUUUUUCUAUUAGAUUGUUCAUACGGGGAACUAGAUUAUGUCUUUGUUUGUAGAAAUGCUAAUCUAAACCUAGGAGCCAUAAUUCUGAUGACUGAUCUAAAUGAGAAACAUAUAUGGUUAUAGUAUCUUUCUCAAACUACCGGUUCUCACUUCUAUGCUUUACAUUGUUCUAGGUUAUAGUUGUUACAUGGGUUAGCUACAAGCCUAAGAUGUUUUUUUUUUUUGCAGAGCUAGCCGUCACAUCUCUUAUGUUAAAGUAUCUAUCUCUUUCUCUAUUAGUACAGUCGAUCAACGAGCUUUUUUAAACUCAAUUCCCCCCUGAUCCAGAUUUUAUUUUCGAGUACUUGAUCACUUUCAUAAGCAUGCUUGAAAUAAUAACUACUCAUCCAUGCAAUCAUGGAAAGGUGUAUUACUAUAUAUGUUGGUUCCAUUGGAUAUGAACCAAUACUAUUUGUCCAUUUUAUGUUCUGCUGAUUUGUUUUCUUGAUAUGAGCUAUUGCAUAUUCACACAACAUUAGCCAUUCUGGUUUGCAUAAUUGUACUCAUGAUGAGGUGCUUACUUAGUCCCUGCACAACUGCUGACCCAGUUCUGUUUUCUGCUUCAUUUUGAUAUGAGCUGUCACAUAUUAAUCUGCACAAUGGUGCUGCUGAUGGAUUGUGCCGUGGGCAGACUUCACAAAUACCUGCUGUCGAGGACUAAAAGUGCUGCAAAGGAUGGUUGAAGCAUAGUAGAAGCGUGGAAAUUUCAGUUUGUAGAAACGUGGGCAGACUUCACAAAUACCUGCUGCCGAGGACUAAAAGUGCUGCAAAGGAUGGUUGAAGUAUAGUAGAAGCGUGGAAAUUUCAGUUUGUAAAAACUAGUUUUGACCAAAGUUGACCUUAGUUGACUAUGCUAGUUUUUUGGGUUUCUUUGGGUUUUUUUUCUUGUAAUUUUCUUUGUUUAGCUUUGGUAGGCUACUUUAUUUCAUCAAGACCGCAUUUUGUUGCGUGACUAGGUUUGGUUGAGCUUGUAUAAACUUUACUUCAUUUUUUGGUUAAUAAAAUUUCUUGUGUACCAAAAAGAGGGAAAAAAAAAUAACACAAGCUACAAAUUGCA